UACAGAGGGGGCAAGCGUUGUUCGGAAUUACUGGGCGUAAAGGGCGCGUAGGCGGCCUUCUAAGUCGAACGUGAAAUCCCCGGGCUCAACCCGGGAACUGCGUCCGAUACUGGCAGGCUUGAAUCCGGGAGAGGGAUGUGGAAUUCCAGGUGUAGCGGUGAAAUGCGUAGAUAUCUGGAGGAACACCGGUGGCGAAGGCGGCGAUCCUGGACCGGUAUUGACGCUGAUGCGCGAAAGCCAGGGGAGCAAACGGG
rnacentral:rRNA from 1 species